AGGUUUUGUGUGCAAUUGAUUAUUUGAGGGAGUGUCUACAUCAUUCAUGGCUAAAGAUGGGAGUGAACAGCAGACUCAUGCACAUACUUUCACAAGAAC